CCUACGGGAGGCAGCAGUAGGGAAUCUUCCACAAUGGACGAAAGUCUGAUGGAGCAACGCCGCGUGAGUGAAGAAGGGUUUCGGCUCGUAAAGCUCUGUUGGUAGGGAAGAAAGAUAGUGGGAGUAACUGGCCUUUAUUUGACGGUACUUACUUAGAAAGUCACGGCUAACUCCGUGCCAGCAGCCGCGGUAAUACGUAGGUGGCAAGCGUUAUCCGGAUUUAUUGGGCGUAAAGCGAGUGCAGGCGGUUGUUUAAGUUUGAUGUGAAAUCCUUCGGCUCAACCGGAGAAUUGC
rnacentral:rRNA from 1 species